rnacentral:rRNA from 1 species
UAGUUGGGGGGGAAAGGCCUACCAAGGCGAAAAAUGGUAGCCGGGCUUGAAAGGUCGAACGGCCCCAUUGGGAUUGAGACCCGGCCCAAAUUCCUACGGGAGGCAGCAGUAAGGAAUUUUCGGCAAUGGAGGAAAUUCUGACCGAGCAAUGCCGCGUGAACGAUGAAGUAUUUCGGUACGUAAAGUUCUUUUAUUAGGGAAGAAAAGAUGGUGGAAAAACCAUUAUGACGGUACCUAAUGAAUAAGCCCCGGCUAACUAUGUGCCAGCAGCCGCGGUAAUACAUAGGGGGCAAGCGUUAUCCGGAAUUAUUGGGCGUAAAGGGUGCGUAGGCGGUUAAAUAAGUUUAUGGUCUAAGUGCAACGCUCAACGUUGUGAUGCUAUAAAAACUGUUUAGCUAGAGUUGGAUAGAGGCAAGUGGAAUUCCGUGUGUAGUGGUAAAAUGCGUAAAUAUACGGAGGAACACCAGAAGCGAAGGCGGCUUGCUGGGUCUUAACUGACGCUGAGGCACGAAAGCGUGGGGAGCAAACAGGAUUAGAUACCCUGGUAGUCCACGCCCUAAACGAUGAGUACUAAACGUUGGAUAAAACCAGUGUUGAAGUUAACACAUUAAGUACUCCGCCUGAGUAGUACGUACGCAAGUAUGAAACUUAAAGGAAUUGACGGGACUCCGCACAAGCGGUGGAUCAUGUUGUUUAAUUCGAAGGUACCCGAAAAACCUCACCAGGUCUUGACAUGCUUUUGCAAAGCUGUAGAAAUACAGUGGAGGUUAUCAGAAGCACAGGUGGUGCAUGGUUGUCGUCAGCUCGUGUCGUGAGAUGUUGGGUUAAGUCCCGCAACGAGCGCAACCCUUGUUGUUAAUUGCCAUCAUUAAGUUGGGGACUUUAGCAAGACUGCCAAUGAUAAAUUGGAGGAAGGUGGGGACGACGUCAAAUCAUCAUGCCCCUUAUGACCUGGGCUACAAACGUGAUACAAUGGCUGUUACAAAGGGUAGCUAAAGCGUAAGCUUCUGGCGAAUCUCAAAAAAGCAGUCUCAGUUCGGAUUGAAGUCUGCAACUCGACUUCAUGAAGUUGGAAUCGCUAGUAAUCGCGAAUCAGCAUGUCGCGGUGAAUACGUUCUCGGGGUUUGUACACACCGCCCGCAACACCCCGAACGCUCCUUC